UGUAUAUAUUGUUUUAUAUAUCAUAAGAUGUGUAGUAUUUUUUGACUUAUUUUGUACAGAAAUUGAAUAUAUACAUUAUAAGUAUCAAUAGCACAAAAAGUGCUUAUAACUUAUAUAAAAAACAAGGAACAUAAACAAUGUAACUUAUGAUAUAUUGAUGAAUUAUGUAAUGGCAUAUCAUUGCUUUAUAUUUUACUGUCUUCCAGUGAACAAGGAUGGAGAAUAGAAAAUUACUGCUUCGAUAUGUUAAACUUCAUGUUGUCCGAAUGCAGCACAGGAUUCUAAUUUUUAAGGAAGAAAUAACAUAUAUUUAUUGACAACAUUAUUGAUGUGUUCACUGAGUAUAGUAUUGAUAUGUGAAGCAGAAUUCUUGAAUCAACAUCGUUAUCAAUUUCAAAAAGAUUCGAACACAAAGCUGUUAAAUGAAGAGAUGACCCCGUGAUAUUCAUGAAUACAUCAUAUUCUAAUAUUGUCUAAGCCCAUGAGAACUUCUUCUGACAGAACCACAUUAAACUAAUGUCAUGAAAUGCCACUGCAGUAUGAUUUCGAAGCAGCUGCUAUACAAUGUUUAUAUUACCAACUGGCUAAUGGUGCUAACUUAUUUGGAUUAUCGAAUCCUACAGAAUUAAACUUUUAUAUAAAGCAUGAUACAUGUUCGUUAAAAUGAUUAAAUUACAA